rnacentral:SRP_RNA from 1 species
GCUGGGCGUGGUGGCUCGCGCCUGUAGUCCCAGCUACUCGGGAGGCUGAGGCAGAAGAAUCGCUUGAGCCUGGGAGGCGGAGGUUGCAGUGAGCCAAGAUGGUGCUACUGCACUCCAGCCCGGGUGACAGAGCGAAACUCUGUCUCAA